rnacentral:rRNA from 1 species
GACGAACCGUCCAAACGUUAUUCGGAAUCACUGGGCUUACAGAGUUCGUAGGCGGUCUGGAAAGUUGGGUGUGAAAUCCCUCGGCCUAACCGAGGAACUGCGCUUGAAACUACCAGACUCGAGGGAGAUAGAGGAAAGCGGAACUGAUGGUGGAGCGGUGAAAUGCGUUGAUAUCGGAAGGAACGCCAGUGGCGAAAGCGGCUUCCUGGUCCAGCACCGACGUUCAGGCACGAAAGCGUGGGGAGCAAACAGG